GUGGACUUCAUUUUGCAGAUGCUCUUCAUCAGCAACAGGCGUAAUAGGGGAUUGGCCGCAACACAUAGCAUGCCCAGAGUAAAAUUCAAAAUAUAAAUUCAGGUAUAUCAUAACAAAGGGAUAAAAUGCAACAUGUGUCACAGGAACCUGACAUGUUUUGAAAUCCUAGCUCAUGAUGGAAAGCAAAAAUUUUUCACAACAUAUGGAUAUUUAAAUAAGACUAGAAUUAAUGCUGAGGUAGUUAAAUUUUGAAUUGCCAUCUGGUUUGUGAUUUACAUAGAUAAAGAAUUCAUGAAUUGGAACAUAAUGAAUACAUCUUAACAAUAACAAAAUUUCAAAUAGAGGCCUCAGUAUCUGUGGCCAGUGUCACUUACCUAUGCCCAUCAUUUGUACCAAUCUUGCCCAUGCAAUUCAAUCUAAAUUAAAUAUGAGAUAUUGUAAAUGAUAUAUAAAGAUUGGUACGUGCAAUGGAGGGUCCUCAUGAUGAAAGGAUAACUCAAGUUAGAACAGUUAUAAAAUUCACAGGUACAGAGUACUCAAACUGCAGACUAUAAAAACUCCUAGCUAAUAACUAAAUUUGAAAAUGUAAAUCAGAGCAUAUCAAUAAUCAUGAACAUGGCACGUCAGCACAAAACAAUCAUCUAAAGUCAGUAAUCCUACCAGUAGCAAUUGAAAUAGUAAAAGAAGAAAUUAUGAUGACUAAUAUUCCCACCAAAACUAAAAAUUGAGGAG
rnacentral:lncRNA from 1 species